CGCCACGCCACAGCAUCGAGUUCCACAUCCGAUGUGGAACAAGAGGGAACCCGGUGGGAAUCCGGGACUGUCCCGCAACGGUAUGCAGGAACGACCGCCGUCAUCGGCACUGGUGCGUAGCACCGGGAAGCGACGGCCUUUAGGUGCAUCGAUGUGAUGCGUGCCUGCGAGUCCGAAGACCUGCCAGCCGUGCCGGGUGCGC
rnacentral:ncRNA from 2 species